rnacentral:rRNA from 1 species
GACGAACGCUGGCGGCGUGCUUAACACAUGCAAGUCGAACGGAAAGGCCCUGCUUUUGUGGGGUGCUCGAGUGGCGAACGGGUGAGUAACACGUGAGUAACCUGCCCUUGACUUUGGGAUAACUUCAGGAAACUGGGGCUAAUACCGGAUAGGAGCUCCUGCUGCAUGGUGGGGGUUGGAAAGUUUCGGCGGUUGGGGAUGGACUCGCGGCGUAUCAGCUUGUUGGUGGGGUAGUGGCUUACCAAGGCUUUGACGGGUAGCCGGCCUGAGAGGGUGACCGGCUACAUUGGGAGUGAGAUACGCCCCAGACUUCUACGGGAGACAGCAGUGGCGAAUAUUGCACAAUGGGCGGAAGCCUGAUGCAGAAACGCCGCGUGCGGGAUGACGGCAUUCGGGUUGUAAACCGAUUUCGCCUGUGACGAAGCGUGAGUGACGGUAAUGGGUAAAGAAGCACCGGCUAACUACGUG